rnacentral:rRNA from 1 species
UACGGGGGGAGCAAGCGUUGUUCGGAUUUACUGGGCGUAAAGGGCGCGUAGGCGGCGUGACAAGUCACUUGUGAAAUCUCCGGGCUUAACCCGGAGCGGCCAAGUGAUACUGUCGUGCUAGAGUGCGGAAGGGGCUACUGGAAUUCUCGGUGUAGCGGUGAAAUGCGUAGAUAUCGAGAGGAACACCUGCGGCGAAGGCGGGUAGCUGGGCCGACACUGACGCUGAGUGCGC